rnacentral:rRNA from 1 species
UGGUGGGAUACCAACCUUGUUUUAUUGGGAUUCUAACGAGAGACGUAACGAGUCUUUGGACAGUCUCAGGCGGGCAGUUUGACUGGGGCGGUCGCCUCCGAAAGAGCAACGGAGGCGCCCAAAGGUUCCCUCAGCGCGGACGGAAACCGCGCGAAGAGUGUAAAGGCAGAAGGGAGCUUGACUGCGAGACGGACAGGUCGAGCAGGGACGAAAGUCGGGCUUAGUGAUCCGGUGGUAGAGAGUGGAAUUGCCAUCGCUCAACGGAUAAAAGCUACCCUGGGGAUAACAGGCUUAUCUCUCCCAAGAGUCCAUAUCGACGGGGAGGUUUGGCACCUCGAUGUCGGCUCAUCACAUCCUGGGGCUGAAGUAGGUCCCAAGGGUUGGGCUGUUCGCCCAUUAAAGUGGUACGCGAGCUGGGUUCAGAACGUCGUGAGACAGUUCGGUCCCUAUCCAUCGCGGGCGGAAGAAACUUGAAAGGGGCUGCUCCUAGUACGAGAGGACCGGAGUGGACGGACCAAUGGUGUACCAGUCAUGCCGCCAGGUGUGCAGCUGGGUAGCUACGUCCGGGACGGAUAAACGCUGAAAGCAUCUAAGCGUGAAACCAGCCUAAAGAUGAGGUUUCUCAUUGUGAAAGCAAGUAAGGUCCCAUGA